GAUGAACGCUGGCGGCGUGCCUAAUACAUGCAAGUCGAACGCUGGAACUCUAGCUUGCUGGAUUGAAGGAGUGGCGAACGGGUGAGUAAUACAUAAGCAACCUACCCACGAAGACUGGGAUAAUCUCUGGAAACGGGGACUAAUACCGGAUAGGUAAUCGGAAGGCAUCUUAUGAUUAUUAAUUGUUAAAAACACUGGUGGAUGGGCUUAGGGUGCAUUAGUUAGUUGGUGAGGUAACGGCCCACCAAGACGAUGAUGCGUAGCCGGGCUGAGGGGGAGGACGGCCAGAUUGGGACUGAGACACGGACCAGAAUCGUACGGGAGGCAGCAGUAGGGAAGUUUAGGCAAUGGAGGAAACCCUGACCGAGCAACGCCGGGUGAGUGAGGACGGGCUUCGGGAUGUAAAGCUCUGUUGUAAGAAAAGAACGGUAGAUAGAGAAUAUCUAAAUGACGGUACCUUACCAGAAAGCCACGGCUAACUACGUG
rnacentral:rRNA from 1 species